rnacentral:miRNA from 1 species
CCCCUUCCUCCCCAGCAGCAGCAGCAGCAUCUCUGUCCUAUAUUGCCUUGUCUGAGCUGUCCGUCUAUUACGGAGUAUUGCAAAGCAGAUCUAGGCUCCUGAUAGACGGUCUUUUUGCUGGCUGUAUAAGGUUUUUUUUUUGGGCCGGACAGGGCCCA